rnacentral:misc_RNA from 1 species
AAGUCGUAACAAGGUUUCCGUAGGUGAACCUGCGGAAGGAUCAUUAAUAAAAUGAUAAUUUUUUGGGGGUUUCCCUGAAAAAUAAUUCACCAUUUGUGCAUUGUUAUUAGAUAUACUUUGGUUAGAGCUUUGAUUCCAAAAAUAUUUGGAAUCAACUUCUUGCUAACUCUAUCCUGUUAAGGACAGUUGGCUAUGAAGCGGCCUACCAAGGUUUGUUAUCAAACUCUUGUAUUUUAUCUGACCUAAACUAUUAUAAUUAAAUCAUAACUUUCAACAACGGAUCUCUUGGCUCUC